rnacentral:sRNA from 1 species
GACCAACACCUCUCAACCGCAGACGCGGC